GGUUCAUUUAUUCAUUUAUUUUCUAAGCAAUUAACAUUUACACAUCCAUCUAACAUCUUCUAAACUAAGAUUCACUCUUUAAAAUUCACUUUCUAACACUCAUUUCCAACACUCAUUCUAACUCCUUUCUCCUUUUGUUUACCUCUUUAUCCAUCUCCCUGUCUGUUCCUGUCUGCUCUCCUCUCUCUCCUCUCUCCUCUCUCCUCUCUUCUCUCUUCUCUCUACUAUCCUCUCCUCGCUAAUCCUAUACCUUGACUAACCUUUACACUUGCGUCCUCUUCACUGUCCUCCCUUUACAGUGCGUCGCUGCGGUGCAGUAAACGGAACUUCGUCCAGCCUGCUCGGAAGGGUUGGUUCGGAACAUCUGGAACGAUGGUAGAGGCAGGUGAGUGUUGACUGACGGAUGGCCUGGCUAGUAACAAGGUGGUAGGUAAAAACGAGUAGCAGUGUAAAAAUAGGAGACACAA